rnacentral:rRNA from 1 species
UACAGGGGGUGCAAACGUUGCUCGGAAUCAUUGGGCGUAAAGCGCACGUAGGCGGUUCGUUAUGUCGGAUGUGAAAGCCCUUGGCUUAACCGAGGAAGUGCAUCCGAAACUGGCGAGCUAGAGUACUAAAAAGGAUCGCGGAAUUCCCGGUGUAGAGGUGAAAUUCGUAGAUAUCGGGAGGAACACCGGUGGCGAAGGCGGCGAUCUGGGUAGAUACUGACGCUGAGGUGCGAAAGCGUGGGGAGCAAACAGG